UAUUGUUUGUGUUAGCAGUAGAUCUUCUUCAAUCCAUUUUGAACAAAGCCAUGAAUCAAAGUCUAAUUGAGAGUCCAAUCCCUUGCAAAGCUUGCCUUGAUUUCCCCAUUAUACAGUAUGCUGAUGACACCUUGGUUAUUAUGAAAGCAGCUGCAAGAAAUUUAAUUUGCCUAAAAGCUCUGCUACAAACUUUUGCUGAAUCAACUGGUCUGAAAGUGAAUUAUAACAAAUCAAGUAUGAUACCUAUAAACCUAAGUGAAGAAAGGCUCAAUCAUUUCUCUGCAACAAUAAAUUGCAAAAAAGGUUCACUUCCUUUUACUUAUCUUGGACUACCUCUGUGUAUUGUCAAACCCAGCAUGGAACAUUUUAUGCCAAUUGUACAAAGAACUCAAUCAAGACUUGGAGGGAUUGCAGAUUUUCUCAAUUAUGGAGGAAAAAACAUACAGAUGUGCAAGCUAAGGGUUCUGCUCUUGUAGCCUGGAAGAAAAUUUGCAAGCCUAAAGAGCAAGGAGGAUUAGGAGUUCUUAACUUGGAGGUGCAGAAUAAGGCACACAUGCUUAAAAACCUACAUAAAUUCUUCAAUAA